UAAAGGAUCUAGUAGAAAUACUUCAGGACCCCUUGCCACCCCCGCUCUGUCUCCCAUCCACUCCAGGAACCCCAGGAGUCUCUAGCCCUUCACAGUUGGUUAGCCCUCAGUCCUGGUCCCCACAGAAGGAAGUGACCCAUGACAGCCUGGUAGUAGGGGCCAUUGAGAACGCUUUCCAGCUCAUGGUGAGUGGGUGGCUUGUGCCAAAAAUGUGCUAAGUAGGCACUCUGGGCACAUCUUCGAGGUGGAGGUGGGUGGGUGAACCCCAGAAUCCACACUGCCUUUGAGAACCUGAGCAGAACUUGGUCCUGUUACCCAAUGUGGCUCUCUUCCACUCUGGUCUGAAGAGGUGCGGAGUGGGGCAGGUGACCAUGACUUGCAGGUUUUUCUGUGUCCUUUGACCCUUCCUCACCUG
rnacentral:lncRNA from 1 species